rnacentral:rRNA from 1 species
UGGGGAAUAUUGGACAAUGGGCGAAAGCCUGAUCCAGCCAUGCCGCGUGUGUGAAGAAGGUCUUCGGAUUGUAAAGCACUUUAAGUUGGGAGGAAGGGCAGUAAGCGAAUACCUUGCUGUUUUGACGUUACCGACAGAAUAAGCACCGGCUAACUCUGUGCCAGCAGCCGCGGUAAUACAGAGGGUGCAAGCGUUAAUCGGAAUUACUGGGCGUAAAGCGCGCGGAGGUGGUUCGUUAAGUUGAAUGUGAAAGCCCCGGGCUCAACCUGGGAGCUGCAUCCAAAACGGGCGAGGUAGAGUAGGGCAGAGGGUGGUGGAAUGUCCUGUGUAGCGGUGAAAUGCGUAGAUAUAGGAAGGAACACCAGUGGCGAAGGCGACCACCUGGGCUCAUACUGACACUGAGGUGCGAAAGCGUGGGGAGCAAACAGG